UUUUUCCGCAAUGGGCGAAAGCCUGACGGAGCAAUACCGCGUGAGGGAGGAAGGCUCUUGGGUUGUAAACCUCUUUUCUCAGGGAAGAAAAAAAUGACGGUACCUGAGGAAUAAGCAUCGGCUAACUCCGUGCCAGCAGCCGCGGUAAUACGGAGGAUGCAAGCGUUAUCCGGAAUGAUUGGGCGUAAAGGGUCCGCAGGUGGCAUUGUAAGUCUGCUGUUAAAGAGUUUGGCUCAACCAAAUAAAAGCAGUGGAAACUACAAAGCUAGAGUUUGGUCGGGGCAGAGGGAAUUCCUGGUGUAGCGGUGAAAUGCGUAGAUAUCAGGAAGAAC
rnacentral:rRNA from 1 species